rnacentral:ncRNA from 1 species
GGGGGAGUAUGAUCGCAAGAUUGAAACUUAAAGGAAUUGACGGAAGGGCACCACCAGGAGUGGAGCCUGCGGCUUAAUUUGACUCAACACGGGGAAACUCACCAGGUCCAGACAUGGGAAGGAUUGACAGAUUGACAGCUCUUUCUUGAUUCCAAGGGAGGUGGUGCAUGGCCGUCCAGCUUUUGUUGUGAAAUCUCUGUUUGAUUACGGUAAACGGCGAGACCUUGACUUGCUGAUUGGUGUGCGCCUGCGUCAGCAGGCGUUGGAGAUUACGCGCAAGCGUGUCUUUUGAUACACCACUCAGAGGGACACUCGGCGUUGCUAUUGAGCGUAAGCCGAAGGAAGUUUGAGGCGAUAACAGGUCUGUGAUGCCCUUAGAUGUUCUGGGCUGCACGCGCGCUACACUGACGGGGGCAGCGAGUAUGCUUUGGGUGUUUGUGGUGGGGAAAGUCUUGUGCUUUCUGCAUUCAUGAACAUCUAUUCCUGCGCUGGAAGGCGUGGGGACUCUUGUGAAAACCCGUCGUGCUGGGGAUAGAUGCUUGCAAUUAUUCAUCUUGAACGAGGAAUUCCUAGUAAGCGCAAUUCAACAGAUUGCGUUGAUUACGUCCCUGCCCUUUGUACACACCGCCCGUCGCUACUACCGAUUGAAUGGUUUAGUGAGGCCUCGGGAUUGGCGCGUGGGCGCUGGCAACAGCUGCCCAUGUGUUUCUUUGCUGAGAACCUGGUCAAACUUGAUCAUUUAGAGGAAGUAAAAGUCGUAACAAGGUUUCCGUAGGUGAACCUGCGGAAG